CACUGAAGGACCACAUGCACACCCACACAGGCGAGUGGCCAUAUCAGUGCCCUUCAUGCCCCCGGGCAUUUAAGCAGAAACAGUGCUUCAAAAGGCACGUGCGUCAGCAUGCACUACAGUGACCAUUUAAGUGUAAGUUCUGCUGUCAGAGCUUCUCAAGAUGAAGCUUUUUAUGGCUAAGCGAAAGGUAAAUCCGGCAGUCCUCUGCACACAGGAAACUCCUGUCGCGUAUGUGCCAGGAAAAUUAGGCAAGCCCCACUACUUGCCACUGGUCCACUAAAAAUGAAGAGAUCAUCUGCGGGCAAAACCGUAUGCGCCACAGAAAUUGGGCGAAUCACACUACUCAUCGCUAAAGAUGAAGAGAAUGUACAUGCAACACACACCAAUUAAUAUUUAUGGACAGUCUUUAAUUGAGAAAGACCUUAUUGAUUGAUCGGGAUCAAGCCAGUGAUAAACACCGGGGCAGCAUGGUUCACCUUCACUGGUUAACUGUACUGAGUGCUUGGGUGUCGAUUUUUUUUUUUUUUGUAAUUUCACAUUUGACUUAGUUCCGGAGCACUGUUACUGUGCCAAGCUACGUAGGAUAAUGACCCUUUCAUUAGUUUCACUAGAGAAUCAUUAUACAUGCGGUAAAAUGUAGUCACAACAUUUCAUUCCUCUUCAUGAUUCUUUAGAGUGUUCUUUGCUGACCAGAUGAACGUUUGCUAUGUCAUAAGUUUAAAACUGGUACUGGUGUGUGACCACAGCUUUACAUUGUCAACUCCAAACUCUUUUUGCAAGCCUCUCAUUUGAACACACAUAAAGGUAUUACUUUUAUACCAGUAGAUGACUAAUUCUGUGGGUGUGCCUUUUGCAGUAAGAGUCUCAAUCGGGUGUCUUCAUAUGCAUGCCUCAUGCGUCAUGGCAUUCUCAUGAACUGGAAAGCGUUAAAUCAUGUACAGUAGAACCUUAUUAUAACAAACACUGAUAUAGUGAAAUAUCGGUUAUAGUGAAUUAAAUACGAGCUUUAGUUGGUCACACCUCAUUUCAGUGAGAUUUAUUUUUAUAAAAUAAAACCAAAAAUGCGAGAGGCGCCGCAGUAUAGGCUGCAGCAAACAAACAUUUGGUUCACACAAGGCUCGAUACCUGAAAGGUAGCACCAAGACAAAAAUAAAUAUUGAAACACAACCAUAUUUUUAUAAUUGUUGGAAAAACUUGCAGAAAUUUUGGUCAUACAGCGGAAAAAAAAAGUGCAUUCGACAGCUUGCACCAACGUGUGAACCAAUUAUAGUCUGUUUCAAGCCUAAAAUAAUGCGUUAUUGUAUGUAGCAUUUUUACAUUAGCCAGAUUGCCAAUUUGUUGUAGCCAAUUUUUAUCUCCUUGGUUAGAAGGAGUAUCUCGUAUAACGAACUAACUUAUUGUUGCGAUGCUAUUUCGUUAUGACGAGGUUUGAUCGUACGAAUUAAUAUAAGGGCUGUGCAUGCAAAAUCUCAUAAUUCAUGUAGUGGUUCACGUAAAGUAGAAGUGCGAUAAUAUCCUGUAACGCCCUGCACUCGGCAUGCUGCGGGAUCUCAAAGAAAAGUUUUCAAGAGAGCAUGCCGCCAUCACGCACCUGCAGAGUGUAGGAGGAGGAAAUGGAGAGUAGUGCGCUGCAUGAAUGUAUGAAAGCUAUAAGCGCAGUUGCGUAGGGGAGCGAGAAGACAAACACAUGCUUUUGCGCAUGAAGCUGAAGCUAAGGAUCCAUCACCUUCGAACUGUCUCUACCCACAACAACAACAGGCAUAAGACGCAGCGCCGGGACUCUACCUUGCAAGUAAUCAUUGGUGGUUCCGAAGAAUACGCAAGCUAGGAUUAAGAUAUCUGGCCACUUCAUGUGCGCUUUCUUCGCAGCGCGCCUGAUGGUGGUGCUUGCGACGUCGCAGAGCAGCGAGUGGCGAUGCUGUCUGUUUGCUCGAUUCUCUUUGCAUUGUUCCUCAUGGCUGCAUUGUGAAAGCUUUUGUUUGCAUUCGUUGAGUGACAUGCCUGUUUGCUCUUGCACGCGUAACACCGCUUGUUAAUUUAUUAGUACGGAUACUUCUACUGCCCUGUAUUUGGCCGCUAAAACUAGAAGCCUCGCUUUGUAUGUAGCAUUCUAAUGAGUGGCUAUGUUUAUCAGCUCUUGCUUCGCCUUUCGAUUAGAGUUAUGACUUCUUGUGCACUCUUGUGUGUUGAACAUUAAGCUGGCUUCACAGGAUGAUUUAUCAAAACCUAACAAGUUGUUCCAUUGUAUUAGGGCUUAGGUGUUACGGGCCACGUUGAACGCUGCAUGGUCUUUUCUUUUGACAGUGACAUUACGGCAAGUCAUUGUGUCUGUGGUUAUGAGAUAUUAUUUUGUACGGGUAUUACAUUUGAGAUCACUCAUUCACUAAGUUCACUUUCUGAGGAAUUACAUGUGUCUUCGGUCAAUACCAACUGUUAGAUAUCUCACUAGCACAUUUAUUGACUGCUGUCUGUAUAACAUUCUUGAAAAUUGGGUAUUUACAUGUCCACUAGAAAAGCUUAUUGUAUGUGGUUGUAUGUGAAACGUUAAGAGGUUGUCUUUUUCACUUUUGGCUUACACUUGUAUUGUGACUAUGUUUUGUACUUGUAGGCUUUUCUGCAGCUCUUUUUCUUUAUUGCCUAUUUUUAUUAUGCUUUAUAUUUCUUGUAUUCCUCCUGCAUGUAAUCAUUUUGUUGCAUCCGUUUAGCAUUUAACCAUUUGUCACUUGUAUGUUUUUCUAAGCCCAAUAAAUUACUCUGUUCUGUUAUUAUUAUUCA